GAUAGCAGAGUGAGAGGGAGAUCGGAGACCGAUUCUCCGGUGGUUCAGCGUCGGUGAACUAGAGACGGCUUCCGGCCAUUUAGAGGUCCCACUGCCGGCGGACCCGUGAGCUAAACCCAUCAGACCUGGGAGGAGCUCCGAUCGUGAAACCCAUAGAAAACCCGUAACCGAAUGACCCAUGGAGAUCCCACGAGAGGAAGACCCGAUCCUCCAUGAUCGGUGGCCAGAACCGAAAUCCGGCGAGGCAUAGCCGACUUCCGGCGGUUUGAAGGAUGAUUUCUGGAAGACUUCUCUGUGAUUGAAUAGAGAUCCUCAAGGUUCAGAAGAUAAUGGAUGGGAUAAUCUAUUAGCUUAAGAGUUCUAAAGCUAAUGUAGUUAGGCUUUAAUGCUUUGUAAUUAUCAAUGUUUGUAUUAUUUUGUAUGUAACAUGUUUAGAGAUUUACUUGUAUUUAGUAGACUUUUCAUAUAUGCUUUCGUGUCAUUUGUGACACAUAUUUCGUUGUAAUGAGUGUAAAUGACUUUUAAUAAAUGUUUAGAGGAAUUUCAGUCA